rnacentral:rRNA from 1 species
ACGCUCGACACCUACGGGGGGCAGCAGUGGGGAAUAUUGGGCAAUGGGCGAAAGCCUGACCCAGCAACGCCGCGUGAGGGAAGAAGGUUUUCGGAUUGUAAACCUCUGUCCUCAGGGACGAAGGACGUGACGGUACCUGAGGAGGAAGCCCCGGCUAACUACGUGCCAGCAGCCGCGGUAAUCUGAGGCGGGCUGGCAAGGC